AUGUUUUGACAGCAGAUGUCCUAAAAAUGGAAUGAUACAAAAAGUGUUAGCAUGGUCUCUGCACAAGGAUGACAUACAAAACCAUGAAGUGUUCCAUAUAAAA
rnacentral:snRNA from 1 species